rnacentral:rRNA from 1 species
GAUGAACGCUGGCGGCGUGCCUAAUACAUGCAAGUCGAGCGAACAGACGAAGAGCUUGCUCCUCUGACGUUAGCGGCGGACGGGUGAGUAACACGUGGAUAACCUACCUAUAAGACUGGGAUAACUUCGGGAAACCGGAGCUAAUACCGGAUAAUAUAUUGAACCGCAUGGUUCAAUAGUGAAAGACGGUUUUGCUGUCACUUAUAGAUGGAUCCGCGCCGCAUUAGCUAGUUGGUAAGGUAACGGCUUACCAAGGCAACGAUGCGUAGCCGACCUGAGAGGGUGAUCGGCCACACGGGAACUGAGACACGGUCCAGACUCCUACGGGAGGCAGCAGUAGGGAAUCUUCCGCAAUGGGCGAAAGCCUGACGGAGCAACGCCGCGUGAGUGAUGAAGGUCUUCGGAUCGUAAAACUCUGUUAUUAGGGAAGAACAAAUGUGUAAGUAACUAUGCACGUCUUGACGGUACCUAAUCAGAAAGCCACGGCUAACUACGUG